CCUACGGGAGGCAGCAGUGAGGAAUAUUGGUCAAUGGACGAGAGUCUGAACCAGCCAAGUAGCGUGAAGGAUGACUGCCCUAUGGGUUGUAAACUUCUUUUAUAUGGGAAUAAAAUGUUCCACGUGUGGGCUUUUGUAUGUACCAUAUGAAUAAGGAUCGGCUAACUCCGUGCCAGCAGCCGCGGUAAUACGGAGGAUCCGAGCGUUAUCCGGAUUUAUUGGGUUUAAAGGGAGCGUAGGUGGAUUUUUAAGUCAGUUGUGAAAGUUUGCGGCUCAACCGUAAAAUUGCAGUUGAAACUGGCAGUCUUGAGUACAGUAGAGGUGGGCGGAAUUCGUGGUGUAGCGGUGAAAUGCUUAGAUAUCACGAAGAACUCCGAUUGCGAAGGCAGCUCACUGGACUGCAACUGACACUGAGGCUCGAAAGUGUGGGUAUCAAACAGGAUUAGAUACCCGUGUAGUC
rnacentral:rRNA from 1 species